GCCACCGCAGCCCAGGGCGGCGCCGUUGUCUCUGGGCCGGCGCGGCCGCCGCGCUCGCCUCCUCGCUCGCCCACCGAGCGCUUCACCCAGGGGCGGGCCCGUGAGCAGCCCGGAGGCGGAGGCCGCGGCAUCGACGGUUUGAGCGCCGCCGCUGCAUUGGUGGACCGCAAAGGAAAGAGAAAGAUCGGAGAAGGAUCUUUUACAGUCUCUGAUGAUCGGGAACAGGCACGAAGGAAGGAGGAGAGGACAUCUGAUUCCCCCAAAGUGAAGCUUCUCAGGAGUAGCAUUCGUGCGUAUCAUGGCGACGCCGAGGAGAAGCUUUCAGAUAGAAAAGGAGAACCAGUGAACUACCCGUUUCAUAAUUGCGGGGCAAGCACAUCAAAACUGCCUGCUCAUGUGUAUCACAAGAAAAUUCCCAUGGGAGAAGCUGCAAAUCAUUAUUUCAGGAACAUUGAUAAUUCUUUCCAGCAACCGGAAGUUGGUUUGCGUUUAAAGUAUCUCAGCCAUCACUAUUCAGAAUUUAGGCCAGUACAUAGAGAUGAGGAAUGUUUCUAUAGGAGUUUCAUAUUUUCCUACCUGGCAUUUGAGAGGCUGAUAGAGAAAAUAAAGGGAUGGAAGCGCAUGCAGGAGCACCCAAUAUCAAUAAUCAGAUUAGUAGCAGCUACCUGGAUGUGCACGCGCAUAUGGAAUUAUGAAUGGUGUGCAACUAAUUGUGGAGAAAAUCAGAAUCUGGAAGAUUGGUGCUCGAAGCACGUAAUUGCUCCUCGUGUGUACGCAACCUCUGCUGCAGUAAAAGCUUGUGCAGAAGCUCUCAGGGUGACCGUCCAAGUGGAGAACGUUCAUGAUGGAACUUGCGAAAGUACGCACUACAUUGUCCGCGGCGCUCCUUGCGUGACCUUGCUGCGCAUAGAGUCUCACUAUGACAUCAUCUACCCACUCCCUCCUAGUUCUAUUAAUAGUUCAAAUCCACAUGAGGAGAAGUUACUCCCAAUCCCAAGUAGCAUUCUUGCGUAUGACAGGAGAAAGAUUUUCGAUAGAAAACAAAAGCAUCUGGACCGCUCCAAUCAAAAUACUAGAGCAAGCACCUCAAAAUCACCGCCUCAUGAGGAUCAAAAGCGUUCAGGUAGAAAAAGAAAGCGACCUGGCUGCUCCAAUCAAAAUCCUAGAGCAAGCAUGUCAAAAUCAUCGCUUCGCAAGGAUCAUAAGUCCUCAGCUCUUGCAACUUUAGUUGAUACUAGAAGAAGAAGAACGAGGUUAACAGAUACUAUCAUUCCUCCUGGAUGCGGAAGGACAAGGAAAUAUGAAAUCACAAGAAUGAGCACUCGACUUGUGUUACGAAGAAGUGUUAGGUCCCUUUACAAGUUGCACAGUCAGCCAAACUCACUCGCUGGUCGAUUCUCAUUGAGAAAUUUUCUGAUAAGUGACGAGAUGACCAUUGAAAUGGAUGAGUUUCAAGCUGAUGAUUUAGACCCCCUAUACAAAGGCCAAUGCAGAGUUCCUGAAGAUAUUCACAGAUGGCUAAGUAUGAUUAUGAGAGAUCCAACUGCUUAUCAGUAUCUGAUAUGCUAUCACUACUGUUUGAUGGAAGAGCACCAAAUGAUGCAUGUCUUUACAUCAUUGUACAAUAAACUGCUAGUAUUGCCAACAACAGACCCAGCAGGAUACAAUUUUGUGCUUGAACGUCUCAAGAUAUUCUCUGGUUGGAGCCCGAUGGAUCUUCACAACGUUUAUUUCAUUGAGACCUUUUACUGGAAAGAUCCCAUCACGGGCGUACCAAUCAUCUACGGAGAUGAUGUUCUCUCCUUGCUGAGAUUGGUAAGAAAUACUUAUCAGCAUUUCAUGUCGAAGGUGGUAGAGGGCAGGAAACUACUCUUCUCUGAAAAAGAUUUCGGGAAUAUGGUCAACGAACAAUUUUCUGGGCUUCUUGAUGAAUUUUUUUGAAGCGAUGUUCAUUGCCACGUAUUAUGCUGACUUACAACUUGAGCAUACAAUGGUGUAAAUUGAUAAGGAGAAGAAGUGACCUGCUGCUGAUUUCUGACGGGCGUGAGCUAAACCAGUUAAGAGUACGCAUGGUGUAAAUGAUGAGAGAAGUGGACAGUAGCUGAUUGUUAACAGCCAAUGAGCUAAACAGAGCUGUGUUUUAGUUGAACCUGUGCAGUAACGAGAUCCUUAUUGUUUUUUUGUUAAAUGUGACAUGCUGUGCAUGUGGAAUUGUUCAGUAUGUGAGCUCAUAUAUAGUAUGAAAGUGUUCUUUGAUCUAACAUUAUCUGUGAGUUCUAAAAUCACUUCC
rnacentral:lncRNA from 1 species